rnacentral:rRNA from 1 species
CCUACGGGUGGCACCAGUGGGGAAUAUUGCACAAUGGGCGCAAGCCUGAUGCAGCCAUGCCGCGUGUGUGAAGAAGGCCUUCGGGUUGUAAAGCACUUUCAGCGGGAGGAAGGCGUUAAGGUUAAUAACCUCAUCGAUUGACGUUACCCGCAGAAGAAGCACCGGCUAACUCCGUGCCAGCAGCCGCGGUAAUACGGAGGGUGCUAGCGUUAAUCGGAAUUACUGGGCGUAAAGCGCACGCAGGCGGUCUGUCAAGUCGGAUGUGAAAUCCCCGGGCUCAACCUGGGAACUGCAUUCGAAACUGGCAGGCUAGAGUCUUGUAGAGGGGGGUAGAAUUCCAGGUGUAGCGGUGAAAUGCGUAGAGAUCUGGAGGAUUACCGGUGGCGAAGGCGGCCCCCUGGACAAAGACUGACGCUCAGGUGCGAAAGCGUGGGGAGCAAACAGGAUUAGAUACCCCUGUAGUC